AGAGGUGUAGCUUAGUUGGUAAAGCAUAUGAUUCCAAAUCAUGAGACCGAAGGUUCGAGUCCUUUCAUCUCUG
rnacentral:tRNA from 1 species